rnacentral:tRNA from 1 species
GGCGACGUAGCUCAGUGGUUAGAGCGAACCACUCAUAAUGGUUAGGUCACAAGUUCGACCCUUGUCGUCGCCA